rnacentral:rRNA from 1 species
UAAAAUCUUAGUGGCGACGGGUGAGUAACGCGUGGGUAACCUGCCUUACACUGGGGGAUAACACUUAGAAAUAGGUGCUAAUACCGCAUAAGCGCACGAAGCCGCAUGGAUUUGUGUGAAAAACUCCGGUGGUGUAAGAUGGACCCGCGUCUGAUUAGCUUGUUGGCGGGGUAACGGCCCACCAAGGCGACGAUCAGUAGCCGGCCUGAGAGGGUGGACGGCCACAUUGGGACUGAGACACGGCCCAAACUCCUACGGGAGGCAGCAG